rnacentral:rRNA from 1 species
GUGAGGAAUAUUGGUCAAUGGGCGGGAGCCUGAACCAGCCAAGUCGCGUGAAGGAAGAAGGAUCUAUGGUUCGUAAACUUCUUUUGCAGGGGAAUAAAGUGCAGGACGUGUCCUGUUUUGUAUGUACCCUGAGAAUAAGGAUCGGCUAACUCCGUGCCAGCAGCCGCGGUAAUACGGAGGAUCCGAGCGUUAUCCGGAUUUAUUGGGUUUAAGGGGUGCGUAGGUGGUUUGAUAAGUCAGCGGUGAAAGUUUGCAGCUUAACUGUAAAAAUGCCGUUGAAACUGUCGGACUUGAGUGUAAAUGAGGUAGGCGGAAUGCGUGGUGUAGCGGUGAAAUGCAUAGAUAUCACGCAGAACUCCGAUUGCGAAGGCAGCUUACUAAGCUACAACUGACACUGAAGCACGAAAGCGUGGGGAUCAAACAGGAUUAGAAACCCCAGUAGUCC